UGAGGAAUAUUGGUCAAUGGGCGAGAGCCUGAACCAGCCAAGUAGCGUGCAGGACGACGGCCCUAUGGGUUGUAAACUGCUUUUGCGCGGGGAUAAAGUGCGCCACGUGUGGCUCAUUGCAGGUGCCGCGCGAAUAAGGACCGGCUAAUUCCGUGCCAGCAGCCGCGGUAAUACGGAAGGUCCGGGCGUUAUCCGGAUUCAUUGGGUUUAAAGGGAGCGCAGGCCGCCCCUUAAGCGUGUUGUGAAAUGCCGCGGCUCAACCGUGGCACUGCAGCGCGAACUGGGGGGCGUUGAGUGCGCGCAGCGCAGGCGGAACUCGUGGUGUAGCGGUGAAAUGCUUAGAUAUCGCGCAGAACUCCGAUUGCGAAGGCAGCGUACCGGCGCCCGACU
rnacentral:rRNA from 1 species